UCUGUCCUUCCCUCCUGAAGGCCGAGAGCUGGGGCUGUGGCCGAGAGACUGUGGAGCAACGCGACCGUCAGGGACCUGCAAGAUGCCUACGUGCGGCUGGCCGAGUUCCGCUGCCAGCUCCUCAGGCGCGGUGUCCGGGCGCAGCCUCUCUACGUGGGAUACUGUGAAAGUGAAUUUGACGGGUUUUGAAGGGAGAUUCCCCACACGGGAGGAACGAUCCCACCCUCUCGAAAGCUGCUGGUUUGGCCAAGGGGCCCCUUUCCCACCCCCGGCUUCUGCUCUCCCUUUGUUGCAAUGAACUUUUUUUUUUGUCCCCUUAGUGUGCGGUCUUUGCCUCUUUUUCUAUUUUUAAUUCUUUAAAUCUAUAAAUAAAUGACCCCAAAGAGGAAAAA